UACGUAGGGUGCAAGCGUUGUCCGGAAUUACUGGGCGUAAAGCGUGCGUAGACGGUUAUUUAAGUCAGGUGUGAAAGCCCCGGGCUCAACCUGGGAAUUGCAUUUGAGACUGAAUAGCUAGGGUGCGGAAGAGGGAAGCGGAAUUUCCGGUGUAGCGGUGAAAUGCGUAGAUAUCGGAAGGAACACCAGUGGCGAAAGCGGCUUCCUGGUCCAGCACCGACGUUCAGGCACGAAAGCGUGGGGAGCAAACAGG
rnacentral:rRNA from 1 species